UAAUUUAGUAAUUAAUUUAUUAAUUUAUUUGGUUUAAUAUGCCUUUUGCAUCAUGCUUAAUGGAUUAUUUAAUUUUAUAAUUUUGACCGAAAGGUUCUGAUCUUAUAUUAUAUUGUUUGGAACUUAUAAUUCUUAAGUAAAGUUUUAAAAAUAGUGAUAUAAGUAGUGAUAAAUUAAUCGGUGAACCUUAUAUCUGUUUAGUUGUUUUGAUUUAUUUAUACUCAAGGUUAUAAGAUUUUGUGUAUGAUUAUAUCAUUUAUUAUUUAAUUUUAAAAAUGGGUUAAAAGUACCCAUUUUUUAUAAAAUUGUUAAAAAUUUAUGUAUAAAAUAUUUAUUUGAUUAAUUUUAUCUGCAACUGUUGAAUAUUAUAUUAUUUAUAUCAUUAAAUAAGUAAUUAUAUUGUAUUAAUUAAUUCUCAAUUAUUAUCCGUCUGUUUUUUAAAAACAUUUCUAAUUGUUAAUAUUAUUAGUAGUACCUGCCCAAUGUUUUAUGAAUGGCCGCAGUAUAUUGACUGUGCAAAGGUAGCAUAAUUAAUUGUCUCAUAAUUGGAGACUUGUUUGAAUGGUUUGACGAGAUAAUUAUAAAUAUUUGAUACUUAAGUGAAAUUAAUCUAGAGGGUAUAGAAUCCUCUAUAAUUAAUAAGACGGAAAGACCCUGGGAUCUUAUAAUUUUGCUUGGGGCAAGUUUUAAUAUUGUAUUAAAAUUAUGACCCUAUUUAUGGAUUAAUGGGUUAAGUUACCCCAGGGAUAACAGGGUUAUAAUUAAUUAGAGAUCAUAUCGAAUUAAUUGUUUGCCACCUCGAUGUUGACUUAGAUUAUAAUUUAGACGCAAUAGUUUAAAUUUUUGGUCUGUUCGACCAUAUUAAUCUCCAUGAGUUGAGUUAAGACCGAUGUAAAUCAGGUCGGUUCUUAUCUAUUGUUGAGACUUAUUAGUACGAAAGGAUCAUAAGUCUUUUUGGGUAUGU
rnacentral:rRNA from 1 species